rnacentral:rRNA from 1 species
GACGAACGCUGGCGGCGUGCUUAACACAUGCAAGUCGAACGGAAAGGCCCUGCUUUUGUUGGGUGCUCGAGUGGCGAACGGGUGAGUAACACGUGAGUAACCUGCCCUUGACUUUGGGAUAACUUCAGGAAACUGGGGCUAAUACCGGAUAGGAGCUCCUGCUGCAUGGUGGGGGUUGGAAAGUUUCGGCGGUUGGGGAUGGACUCGCGGCUUAUCAGCUUGUUGGUGGGGUAGUGGCUUACCAAGGCUUUGACGGGUAGCCGGCCUGAGAGGGUGACCGGCCACAUUGGGACUGAGAUACGGCCCAGACUCCUACGGGAGGCAGCAGUGGGGAAUAUUGCACAAUGGGCGGAAGCCUGAUGCAGCAACGCCGCGUGCGGGAUGACGGCCUUCGGGUUGUAAACUGCUUUCGCCUGUGACGAAGCGUGAGUGACGGUAAUGGGUAAAGAAGCACCGGCUAACUACGUGCCAGCAGCCGCGGUGAUACGUAGGGUGCGAGCGUUGUCCGGAUUUAUUGGGCGUAAAGGGCUCGUAGGUGGUUGAUCGCGUCGGAAGUGUAAUCUUGGGGCUUAACCCUGAGCGUGCUUUCGAUACGGGUUGACUUGAGGAAGGUAGGGGAGAAUGGAAUUCCUGGUGGAGCGGUGGAAUGUGCAGAUAUCAGGAGGAACACCAGUGGCGAAGGCGGUUCUCUGGGCCUUUCCUGACGCUGAGGAGCGAAAGCGUGGGGAGCGAACAGGCUUAGAUACCCUGGUAGUCCACGCUGUAAACGGUGGGUACUAGGUGUGGGGUCCAUUCCACGGGUUCCGUGCCGUAGCUAACGCUUUAAGUACCCCGCCUGGGGAGUACGGCCGCAAGGCUAAAACUCAAAGGAAUUGACGGGGCCCCGCACAAGCGGCGGAGCAUGCGGAUUAAUUCGAUGCAACGCGUAGAACCUUACCUGGGUUUGACAUGGAUCGGGAGUGCUCAGAGAUGGGUGUGCCUCUUUUGGGGUCGGUUCACAGGUGGUGCAUGGCUGUCGUCAGCUCGUGUCGUGAGAUGUUGGGUUAAGUCCCGCAACGAGCGCAACCCUUGUUCACUGUUGCCAGCACGUUAUGGUGGGGACUCAGUGGAGACCGCCGGGGUCAACUCGGAGGAAGGUGGGGAUGACGUCAAGUCAUCAUGCCCCUUAUGUCCAGGGCUUCACGCACGCUACAAUGGCUGGUACAGAGAGUGGCGAGCCUGUGAGGGUGAGCGAAUCUCGGAAAGCCGGUCUCAGUUCGGAUUGGGGUCUGCAACUCGACCUCAUGAAGUCGGAGUCGCUAGUAAUCGCAGAUCAGCAACGCUGCGGUGAAUACGUUCCCGGGGCU